UUUUUGAAAUCGUCGAGGCAGCAGCUGCGGAGUAGAGGGGCGUGAACCGGACGCCGGCUCUCUGUGUGUGUCACCUCCUCCUCCUCCUCAUUCUCCUCCUCCUCUUCAUCCUCCUCCUCCUCCCCUUCAUUCUCUCUCCUUCUCGCCUCACCAUCACCAACCAACCAGGCUCGCCCCUCGCCCCUGCCCCAUCAUCAUCAUCACCACCACCACCACCAACAACACCAACACCGCCUUUUUUUUGCUUCCUGCUCCGGGCAUCCGAGUCUCGAGCGGUCGUUUUUGUUGCGUUUCCUGCUUCCCGUGCCGCCUUCACGCGUAUGUGAAACCAUCGGGCCACUGCACCUCCUUCAGCCCAGCCUCGCGUCCCCAUGGCAAGCACCAAGGUGCUCCUGUCGGGCCACCCGGGCAAAGCCGGGGCCGAGGCGGCUCCGCCGAGCCCCGGCAAGGGUGGCAAGCCCCUCGCCGGCGAAGCGGGCAAGGCCGGAGAUGCGGCACCUGCAUCCGGUGCCGGCACCCCGCCGCCCGGUUCCCCGCGCCACGCGCCGCCCGCCAGGAGCUACCGCCUUGAGGACUUCCAAGUCGUGGCCACAGUCGGCACGGGCACGUUUGGGCGCGUGCUGCUGGUGCGCGACGCGGCGACGCGCCACCACUACGCGCUCAAGAAGAUGAGCAUCUGCGACGUGAUCCGGCUCAAGCAGGAGCAGCACGUGCACAACGAGAAGGACGUGCUGCUGGAGUGUGACCACCCCUUCAUCGUUAAGCUGUUCUGGACCCACCACGACUCGCGCUUCCUCUACGUGCUCAUGGAGUACGCGCCGGGCGGGGAGCUCUUCACGUACCUGCGCAACCUGGGGCGCUUCUGCGACGCGUACGGCCUCUUCUACGCGAGCGAGCUGGUGUGCGCCAUCGAGUACCUGCACGGUAUCUCCGUGGUGUACCGCGACCUCAAGCCCGAGAACGUUCUGCUGGCGCGCGACGGUCACGUCAAGCUCACCGACUUUGGCUUCUCCAAGAAGCUCCACGAGAAGACGUACACGCUGUGUGGCACACCGGAGUACCUCGCCCCGGAGGUGAUUCAGAGCAAGGGCCACGGCUUGGCCAUCGACUGGUGGGCGCUCGGAAUCCUCAUCUUCGAGAUGCUCUCCGGGCACCCGCCGUUCUUCGACGACAACCCCUUCGGGACGUACCAGAAGAUCCUCGCGUGCAAGAUCGACUUCCCCAAGCACAUGGACUACUACGCCAAGGACCUUAUUCGGAAACUUCUCGUCGUUGAUCGCAGCAGGAGGCUUGGCAACAUGAAGAACGGGGCCGAGGAUGUGAAGAACCACCGGUGGUUCAAGGGCGUCGACUGGUCAGCCGUGCCUCUCAAGAGGCUCAAUCCUCCCAUCGAGCCGCGGAUCGUGCAUGAAGGAGACACCUCCAACUUUGAGAGCUACCCUCCCGAAGACCCCAAAAAGAUUCCUCCCUCCCUGUGCACCAAGGACCUGGAGCCCUUCAAGAACUUCUGAGCCCCCCCCCCCUCCACUGUCGUUGGGACGGGGGGGGGGGCUCGCGCUUCGAGGUCCCAGGGAGGGGGACGACAGUUCCGCACUGCCAAGCCGGGGCGUCUCUGCUGCUGCUGGUGGCGGUGCUGGUGGUGGUGCUGGUGGUGGUGGUGCUACUGGUGCUGGUGCUACUGGUGCUGGUGGAAACUAAUGGGCGGGUCAACAGGUCGGGAAGAGCAAAAGCGGCUGUCCCUCCGAGCUCCUCACGCUCCGUCCGCACCUCCAACGCCUCCUCGCCGUCUCUCUUCCGGAGACACAAGGCCCCCCCCCCCUCUACACCCCCCGC